GUUGGUCGGNGGUAAGGGCCCACCAAGGCGACGAUCAGUAGCCGGCCUGAGAGGGUGAACGGCCACAUUGGGACUGAGACACGGCCCAAACUCCUACGGAAGGCAGCAG
rnacentral:rRNA from 1 species